UACUAGAGUAGCACUCGCAUAUCAAUAAGCGGAGGAAAAGAAACUAACAAGGAUUCCCCUAGUAACGGCGAGUGUAAGCGGGAAGAGCUCAAAUUUGAAAUCUUAAAGGGUUUCCCUUUACGAAUUGUAGUUUAAAGAAGUGUUUUCUGUUGAGGUUUUGGUAAAAGUUCUUUGGAAUAGGACAUCAUAGAGGGUGAGAAUCCCGUAUUUGACCUUUACUUUCAACUUUGUGAUACACUUUCAAAGAGUCGGAUUGUUUGGGAAUGCAGUCCAAAAUGGGUGGUAAAUUUCAUCUAAAACUAAAUAUUGGCGAGAGACCGAUAGCGAACAAGUACCGUGAGGGAAAGAUGAAAAGAACUUUGAAAAGAGAGUUAAACAGUACGUGAAAUUGUCAAAAGGGAAGCGUUUGACACCAGUGUUGUUUUUCUGAAAAUCAAUUAAAGAACUGUUUAUGCUAAGCUGUUUAGACUUUAUCAGCUAUCUGUUUAGUUUUGAGCUUUUCUUUAAUGCACUUUUCAGUUAACAAGUCAACAUCAAUUUCUUUUGCUGUAAAAAAGCUUGAGGAAGGUGGCUUGAGAUUCGUCUUAAGUGUUUAUAGCCUCUUGCCUAUGCAGUCGGAGAGAUUGAGGUCCGCAGCGUAGAUCCUUCGGGGCUAAAUGCAUUUGUGCUAAGUUAUAGCAUUUUAUAGACAACUUGUUGACUAUGAUUUGUCUUGUAGCUUACUCGCUUAUGUUAUUUUACCUACGCUUAGGAUGUUGAGUAGCGACAUACGCAC
rnacentral:rRNA from 1 species